GACGAACGCUGGCGGCGUGCCUAAUACAUGCAAGUAGGACGCAGUUGCGAACGGGUGAGUAACGCGUAGGUAACUGACUAUUAGAGGGGGAUAACUAUUGGAAACGAUAGCUAAUACCGCAUACUAGUAGAUGGACCUGCGUUGUAUUAGCUAGUAGGUAGGGUAAUGGCCUACCUAGUCAACGAUACAUAGCCGACCUGAGAAGGUGAUCGGCCACACUGGGACGUAGACAAGGCUCAGACUCCUACUGGAGGCAGGAGUAGGGAAUCUUCGGCGAUGGGGGGGACCCUGACCGAUCAACGCCGCGUGAGUGAAAAAGGUUUUCGGAUCGUAAAGCUCUUUUGUUAAGGAAGCGGUACUUAACCAGAAAGGGACGGCUAACUACGUGCCAGCCGCCGCGGUAAUUC
rnacentral:rRNA from 1 species